rnacentral:rRNA from 1 species
AUUGAACGCUGGGCGGCAUGCUUAACACAUGCAAGUCGAACGGCAGCACGAGGGGCUUGCUCCUUGGUGGCGAGUGGCGGACGGGUGAGUAAUGGCAUAGGAAUUUGCCUAGUAGUGGGGGACAACUCGAGGAAACUCGAGCUAAUACCGCAUAAGCCCUACGGGGGAAAGCGUGGGAUCUUCGGACCUCGCGCUAUUAGAUAAGCCUAUGUCCGAUUAGCUAGUUGUAGGGUAAAGGCCUACCAAGGCGACGAUCGGUAGCUGGUCUGAGAGGAUGAUCAGCCACACUUGGGACUGAGACACGGCCCAGGACUCCUGCGGGAGGCAGCAGUGGGGAAUAUUGGACAAUGGGCGAAAGCCUGAUCCAGCAAUGCCGCGUGUGUGA